AUUCCAACAAAAUAGCCACAUCUCUCUCUACAAUCUCUCUCCGCUGCUCCACCACCACCACUGCUCCACCACCGGCGAGUCCAUCACCACACUCUCCUCAAUCGCCUCUACCACCACCACUCCACCAAGAUAUCGCCUCUCAACAUCACCAACCAAACAAAACCAUCCUCCACCGGCGAAAUCCGCCACUGUCGACUCUCACCAUUUUCAUCCAUUUAUUGUCAUUUUCUCACACCUAAAUCCUACUCAUUUCCCUUCGCUACACACAUACACACUAACACUUGUCACAAUUCAUAUAAUUACCAACCCACUCUUCUCUAUACCGCUCUUUCCCAACACAUUCUUAGGGUUUGUAAACUAAAGAUUGAGUCGGAGUACUUGAAUUUUACUGUUUUAAUUCAGAAUCUAGCUUUAUCGACUAAAAAAUUCAAAAGUACAGUGAAGCAAAUAUGGAUGUUGCUGAUUCAUGAAGUGAUCAUCUUUCUUCUGCUUCCAGGCGUUAUCAAUCUGCUUUUCAAUCUUGAUCUAGAAUGAAAUGGGAGAAUCUUGAGGCGAAAAUGUUAAUGGGUUUUAAGGAACUUGAUGUGGAUGUUGAUAUAAGAAAGCAGUUUCAUUGUUGCUUUUGUUCUGAGUAUUUUGAUAUUGUUGGUUUAUGUUGCCAUAUUAAUGAUGAGCAUCCUGUUGAGGCCAAGAACGGGAUUUAUUGACAAAGAGUUUGAGCAGCCUACAACAUUCUCAUCUUUUGUCCAAGUUUGGCAUGAUCAGUAUCUUCAGUGUGCCCAGCUUGAAGGGGGUGUUGAGGACUAAUCAACUAAUUGCCAGUUGACCAGUUAGUCACUUCAUUAGUUGGCGUUAGUUAGAGUUAGUCAGAGGUAGUUACAGCUAAGAGAACAUGUAUAUAUACAACCAUGAGUAGCGUUGGUGGUUUUCAAGUUUCAUUCAAUAAAAUAGUUUCUUCCUUCUUUCUCUGUUUUGCUCUCACUGGUAGUUCCUUUAUGGAACUUUACAGUGUUUGAACGGUUUUCGUUGAUUAAUGAUGUUGGGAACUUAGAAUCA